UACGAAGGGGGCUAGCGUUGUUCGAAAUUACUGGGCGUAAAGCGCACGUAGGCGGAUCUUUAAGUCAGGGGUGAAAUCCCGAGGCUCAACCUCGGAACUGCCUUUGAUACUGGGGAUAUCGAGUCCGGGAGAGGUGAGUGGAACUGCGAGUGUAGAGGUGAAAUUCGUAGAUAUUCGCAAGAACACCAGUGGCGAAGGCGGCUCACUGGUCCGGUACUGACGCUGAGGUGCGAAAGCGUGGGGAGCAAACAGG
rnacentral:rRNA from 1 species